rnacentral:ncRNA from 2 species
CUCUUAUUAAGAACUACUAGAUGAAGAUCGAUGAUGUAGUGGCAACCCUAUAUUAAAUUAGAAGGUGCCUAACUGAGCAAGUUUAUACUUGAACAAUGAGAG